CCAAUAGCGUAUAUUAAAGUUGUUGCAGUUAAAAAGCUCGUAGUUGAAUUUCGGGAUCAAUUGAUUGGUCAUGCCUUGGUAUGUACUGGUCAUAUUGGUUCUCACCUUCUAAUGAACCAUAAUGUCAUUUACUUGAUGUUAUGGGGAAUUAGGACUGUUACCUUGAAAAAAUUAGAGUGUUUAAAGCAGGCUUACGCUUGAAUACAUUAGCAUGGAAUAAUGAAAUAGGACAUCGCAUUCUAUUUUGUUGGUUUCUAGGAUCGAUGUAAUGAUUAAUAGGGAUAGUUGGGGGCAUUAGUAUUCAAUUGUCAGAGGUGAAAUUCUUGGAUUUAUUGAAGACUAACUACUGCGAAAGCAUUUGCCAAGGAUGUUUUCAUUAAUCAAGAACGAAAGUUAGGGGAUCGAAGACGAUCAGAUACCGUCGCAGUCUUAACCAUAAACUAUGCCGACUAGGGAUCGGAUGAUGUUAAUUUUUAAAUGACUCAUUCGGCACCUUACA
rnacentral:rRNA from 1 species